UACGUAGGGACCGAGCGUUGUCCGGAAUCAUUGGGCGUAAAGAGCGUGUAGGCGGCUAUUUAAGUCCUGCGUGAAAUCCUGCGGCUCAACCGCAGACGGUCGUGGGAAACUGGAUGGCUAGAGUGCGGGAGAGGAGAGUGGAAUUCCCGGUGUAGCGGUGAAAUGCGCAGAUAUCGGGAAGAACACCCGUGGCGAAGGCGGCUCUCUGGGACGGUACUGACGCUGAGACGCGAAAGCGUGGGGAGCGAACAGG
rnacentral:rRNA from 1 species